rnacentral:rRNA from 1 species
CCUACGGGAGACAGCAGUGGGGAAUAUUGCACAAUGGGGGAAACCCUGAUGCAGCGACGCCGCGUGAGUGAAGAAGUAUUUCGGUAUGUAAAGCUCUAGCAGCAGGGAAGAAGAAAGACGGUACCUGACUACGAAGCGCCGGCUAACUACGUGCCAGCAGCCGCGGUAAUACGUAGGGGGCAAGCGUUAUCCGGAUUUACUGGGUGGAAAGGGAGCGUAGACGGCUGUGCAAGUCUGAAGUGAAAGCCCAGGGCUCAACCCUGGGACUGCUUUGGAAACUGUGGAGCUAGAGUGCUGGAGAGGUAAGUGGAAUUCCUAGUGUAGCGGUGAAAUGCGUAGAUAUUAGGAGGAACACCAGUGGCGAAGGCGGCUUACUGGACAGUAACUGACGUUGAGGCUCGAAAGCGUGGGGAGCAAACAGGAUUAGAUACCCUGGUAGUC